rnacentral:rRNA from 1 species
UACGGGGGGGGCAAGCGUUGUUCGGAAUUACUGGGCGUAAAGGGCUCGUAGGCGGUUAACUAAGUCAGACGUGAAAUCCCUCGGCUUAACCGGGGAACUGCGUCUGAUACUGGAUGGCUUGAGUUUGGGAGAGGGAUGUGGAAUUCCAGGUGUAGCGGUGAAAUGCGUAGAUAUCUGGAGGAACACCGGUGGCGAAGGCGGCAUCCUGGGCCAACACUGACGCUGAGUGAGCGAAAGCCAGGGGAGCAAACGGG